GUCCCUGUAGCGCAAUGGAUAGCGCGUUGGACUUCUAAUCCAAAGGUCAUGGGUUAGAAUCCCACCUGAGAAU
rnacentral:tRNA from 1 species